rnacentral:rRNA from 1 species
CCUACGGGAGGCAGCAGUGGGGAAUAUUGCACAAUGGGGGAAACCCUGAUGCAGCGACGCCGCGUGAGUGAAGAAGUAUCUCGGUACGUAAAGCUCUAUCAGCAGGAAAGAAAAUGACGGUACCUGACUAAGAAGCCCCGGCAAACUACGUGCCAGCAGCCGCGGUAAUACGUAGGGGGCAAGCGUUAUCCGGAUUUACUGGGUGUAAAGGGAGCGUAGACGGCGCUGCAAGUCAGGAGUGAAAGCCCAUGGCUUAACCAUGGUACUGCUCUGGAAACUGUAGAGCUUGAGUGCGGGAGGGGCAGGCGGAAGUCCUAGUGUAGCGGUGAAAUGCGUAGAUAUGAGGAGGAACACCGGCGGCGAAGGCGGCCUGCUGGACCGUAACUGACGUGGGGGCUCGAAAGCGUGGGGAGCAAACAGGAUUAGAUACCCGAGUAGU